GAUGAAGAACGCAGUGAAAUGCGAUACUUGGUGUGAAUUGCAGAAUCCCGUGAACCAUCGAGUCUUUGAACGCAAGUUGCGCCCGAAGCCAUUAGGCCGAGGGCACGCCUGCCUGGGCGUCACACGUCGUUGCCCCCCCAUCUACUCCUUCGGGAUUGCGGGGGGCGGAUGAUGGCCUCCCGUGCGCCUCGUCGCGCGGUUGGCCUAAAUGCCAAGUCCUCGGCGACGCACGCCACGACAAUCGGUGGUUGCGAAACCUCGGUUGCCCGUCGUGUGCGGUCGUCGCGCAUCGAGGGCUCGAAAAAAUUGCCGGGCUUCGGCUCGACUUUCAACGCGACCCCAGGUCAGGCGGGGUUACCCGCUGAAUUUAAGCAUAUCAAUAAGCGGAGGA
rnacentral:misc_RNA from 1 species